ACUCCACUCAGAGGUACCCAUAAACAGAAAGGACCCACUGGCCACUUCUCCAGGACAGCAAGGUAGUGGACAUGCACAAGGACCUUGCCCCUGUUCAGAUCCAUGAAAGAAGUGCUGUGCCUCCCUUGACUUGAUAAAGAAGGAGCCAAUUUCUUCCCAGUUUCCUCGAGAACUCACAGACUACGGAAAUUAUGUUAGACAAAAAGCAAAUUAGAGCAAUUUUCUUAUUUGGGUUCAAAAUGGGUCAUAAAGCAGCAAGAAAACUCAUAACAUCAAUAAGGCAUUUGGCCCAGGAACUGCUAAUGAAUGUACAGUACAGUGGUGGUUCAAGAAGUUUUGCAAAGGAGACAAGAGCCUUGAAGAUGAGGAGUGUAUGGCCAGCCAUCAGAAGUUGACAAUGACCAAUUGACAGCAAUCAUCAAAGCUGAUCCUCUUACAACUACAUGAGAAAUUGCCAAAGAACUCCACCUCGACCAUUCUAUGGUCAUGUGGCAUUUGAAGCAAAUUGAAAAGGUGAAAAAGGUGGGAAAAAAAGGUGAAAAAAAGGUGUCUUGAUAAGUGGGUGCUUCAUGAGCUGAGCAAAAAU
rnacentral:lncRNA from 1 species